AUACGAAAGGUGCAAGCGUUGUUCGGAUUUACUGGGCGUAAAGAGAGUGUAGGUUGUUUAUUAAGUCGGAUGUGAAAUCCCGGGGCUCAACCUCGGAACUGCAUUCGAUACUGGUAGACUAGAGUUCGAGAGGGGUAAGCGGAAUUCCGUGUGUAGCAGUGAAAUGCGUAGAUAUACGGAGGAACACCUGAGGCGAAGGCGGCUUACUGGACCGAUACUGACACUGAGACUCGAAAGCGUGGGUAGCAAACAGAAUUAGAAACCCUAGUAGUCC
rnacentral:rRNA from 1 species